rnacentral:rRNA from 1 species
GACGAACGCUGGCGGCGUGCUUAACACAUGCAAGUCGAACGGAAAGGCCCCUUUGGGGGUACUCGAGUGGCGAACGGGUGAGUAACACGUGAGUAACCUGCCCUUGACUUCGGGAUAACUUCAGGAAACUGGGGCUAAUACCGGAUAGGAAUCCUUGAUGCAUGGUGGGGGUUGGAAAGCUUCGGCGGUUUUGGAUGGACUCGCGGCUUAUCAGCUUGUUGGUGGGGUAGUGGCUUACCAAGGCUUUGACGGGUAGCCGGCCUGAGAGGGCGACCGGCCACAUUGGGACUGAGAUACGGCCCAGACUCCUACGGGAGGCAGCAGUGGGGAAUAUUGCACAAUGGGCGGAAGCCUGAUGCAGCAACGCCGCGUGCGGGAGGACGGCCUUCGGGUUGUAAACCGCUUUCAGCAGGGGCGAAGCUUGUGGUGACGGUACCUGCAGAAGAAGCACCGGCUAACUACGUG